UGGGAAGUUGCAAAUAAAAUAAUGAUAUCUCUAAGGAAUCAAAGUCACAUGCUUACAUAUGGAAGACUUAGCAUUCUAGAAGUCGGCAGGUCUUCAAACUCAAAUUUUUGCUAACACUGUUGAUUCUCUGUAAUCAAUAUUGUACCGGCCCAAAUUUGCCCGGGCCCAUGCCAAAAUCAAAAUAAAAUAAUAAUAACAAAACCCAAAUAUUAAUAAGUCUAAUGUCUAAAUUACAAAGAUAAAAUAACAGGCUUAAAAACCUAAUAGCCCAAUCAAGACCCAACUACUAGCCCAAAACUUAAAAAGCUAACCCUAGCCCACUAGCUCUUAACAUUUUCAGAAAGCAAAAGAACCCUAGUCAUUUUUGCCUUCAGCCACCACUCCACCCUAUGUACGCUGCACGUCAGCAAGGCCCUCCCCGCACGCCAUCGCCGACCUUGCACGCCUCUGAUGCUUCUCACUUCACCUACAAGACAAAAACAAAGGGGAAGAAGCCAACGCGCAAUAAAACAAAGAAGAAAAGGACAAAAAGCAACAAAAAACAAAAUGAAAAAAAAACAAAGAACGAAUCUUGUAUCGGCUAUAAAGGCCGCAACCUCUCCAUUGUAAUUUUUUUUUUUGCGCACACUAAAAAUAAAAAGCAGAACAGAAGUUUCGAAAGGUUUUGAUCUUUUCAUUAUCUAUUUUCGUUUCUUAUUUCUUUUAUUUUAUUUUUUAUAUAAAAAUCUAUUUUAAUAAAAAGGGAAAAGAAAAAAUAAUAAAAAGAAGAAGGGAAGAUUUACCCGAGUCACCCCGCGGUCUCGUCGUUGGAAGUCCUUUUCUCCGUCGUCGAGGCCAGAUCUAAAAAGGGGUCGAAGUUCUCGUCCUCCGACAGUUGGGUUGGGCAGAUUUGGCCCUCAAAAUAUGAAGAAACGAGGGCCAAAAUCCCCUUUUUGCGUAACUCCGGCCACCGGCCACAGUGGGGCCGCGGUGGGGAGUGGUACACCUACGACAACACCCAAGGUCAAGUUGAAACCCUAGCAAAGAAAAAGGGAGAGUUUUUUUUAAAGUUUUUUAAGAAAAAAAGCAGCUGACUGAAAAUUUAAAAAAAAAUGGUUUAUAUGCAGGAAUGAAAUGGUGCCAUUUUGCACCCAAGG
rnacentral:lncRNA from 1 species